GUUUAUGCUGUGUGCUCUUCCUGGGCGGCCAAGGCCCCCACUCAGGAUGGAAGCAGGACUUUGCCGGAAGGUCCACGCUGCGUGUGCGGCCUUCCCCGACAGUGCGGCUGUCUCUGCUCUGUCACCCACUAUGGCAUCACAGCGUGCUGUUCAGUGACCCGUAAGUGGUGGUGGCUUCUUGCUACAUUGCAGUGCCUGCGUCCUUCACCCCUCUGCAUCUCACUGUGUUGGCUUUGUGUCAUCUGCUGUCAUCACAAAAAGGACAAAGAUGACCCUCGCCAGAGCAUCUCCUUAGGAGGUGUCCCCACUGCACAGGUACAAGUGAGCAGAGCGCUGAGUGCAAGGAGUGACCCGAAAGUGCUCCAGGGUUUCUCAGGUGGGCCGGUGCCGCCUUACACCUCACCCUCCUUCUGCAGGGAGGACCAACUCGCCCUUACAGGGGCCCAGAGCCCACUGAGCUGUCUUCUGAAGAGUGGAACCCGUGACCCAUUACAGGACCGUUUCCCCCCAGGGCUUGCCUGGGCCGUGUCACAAGCCAGCGGAGACCGGAGUUGUGAAACUCACCGCACUACCUGCGUGCCUGUACUGCACAGUAGGUCUCAGUGUUCAUGGAGCAAAGCAGCCGUGGGAGGAGCUAGAUCGACUUCGGAAGCAGUGCCUUUUCUGUGAUUUGGACAUAAUCCACGGUUUGCGGUUGGCAUAUUGUCUUUGCCUGUUUUUCUAUUGCUAUAACAGAGUAGCCGAGACAAGGUCAUUAAUUUAUAAAGGAAAGAUGUUUAUUUAGCUGCAGCUUCCAGAGAUAGGAGUCCAAGUCAGGUGGCGGCACCAGGCGAGGGUCUUGUGUCAUGUUGCAGGGAGGGAAGGUGGGCGUGUGCUGAAGAGGUGAAGCAGGAGGGGCAGCUUCACUCUCUAACAGCCCUCUCCCUUGGAAACUGAUCCAUGAGGCAAGAACUCACUACUUUGAGAAUGAACCCAGUGCCGUGAGACAGGUAUUAAUCCCUCUCAGUGACCUGAUCACCUCAUUACGACUUCACCCUCAAACGGCCACGAUGGCAGUCACAUUUCCACGUGGGUUUUGGAGGAGACACACUACAGCAUAUGUGGUGCUGUGGGCACUUGCAAAACAAGAUCCACUCUACCCGGGAUUUUAAAAGGGAUUUAAAAAAUUAGACUUGCAUUCCUCAGUACUAUUGCUGGGAAUGAGACCACAUCGAAAAUUUAGGAGGGUAGCUUAGUAGUACCUUUUAAAAAAUGCAACAAGCAUAUAUCCCAUGAUCCAUCUCCCUUCACAGAAGUGAUCUAACACAAAUACCAUGGCUAGAGCUGGGCGUGGUGGCGCAUGCGUGUAAUCCCAGCACUCAGGAGGCUGAGGCAGGAGGAUCGUUGCAAGUUCAAGACCAGCCUGGGGGUGCUGGGGAUUUAGCUCAGUGGCAAAAGCGUCUGCCUGGCAAGCACAAGGUCAUGAGUUAGGUUCCUGGUACGGGAGAAAAACCAAAAAAAAAAAAAAAAACGACCAGCCUGGGCUACAAAGUGAGCUCAAGGCCAGCCUGAACUGCAGAGUGAGACCCUGUCUCCAAAAAGACAAAAAACAAAACAAAACAAAACAAAACAAAUACCAUGGCUAAUGUACAAGCUAUACAUGAUUAGCCUUAAGAAUAGUGUACUUAACCUUUACUAUGUGGUAGAUACUAUUCAAAUUCUUUACACGUAUUGAAAAGUCUUCCCAACAAUCCUACGAGGUAAAUAUUUAUGACAAGAUCAGAACCAUCUUUAUAUAUCCUUGUUACAUUUUCGGGUGGUUGCUUCCUGAUAAUUUACAGAGAAGCGGGUCUGACAAUUAAGCCCAUUCACUGGACUCUGACUCUCGGAUAGAAUAUAGACUGUAGAGCCAACAGGAGCUUUACACAUCGUGCAGACUGAACCCAUCAGCAGACCCACCUGUUGAUGAGGUGAGUGCCCUCGUGACAGUCAUCUCUCUAGGCCCUGCCUCUGAACCCUGCUGCCCUGGCAAUCCAGCCUUUGGAGGACUCUCCAGGUCCAAUGUAACAUGGGGUGAAGUCUCAGCACCUUCCCAGGUCUUGACAGUUUCAGGGAUGAACACGGGUUUAUGACAAGGUUACAGCUUUCUGAAGGAGGCACAGAAAGGUCCUCUGGGCCAGGCGAGGUGAGAUGAGAAGUCCUUCUGGGAUCCAGCGCUGAGCACCCUUGCCCAUGUGGUGGUGGUGGUGUGGUUAGGGGCUCCCACAUCUCACCUCUGAGUGAGUGUUGCUACAGCUUGGAUCGUAAAUGUUCUCCAAUAGCCCAGGUGUUAAGGCUGGAUCCCCAGCCCAAGUGCCUCUGGGAGGUGGUGGGACCUUCAGGAGGUGCAGCCUGCGGGGAGGCAUGAGGUCCCUGGGGGUGUGGCCCUGAAGAAGACGAGGAGGAGGAAGUGAGGUCAUUGAGCGGGUGGCAUGGAGUGAGGGGGGACCUCGGCCCUUCCUGCUCUUCUCCCUUGCUUCCUUGAUGUCAUGAGGUGAGCAGCUUCCUCCCCACGCUCCUGCCACUGUGUGCUGCCUCACCACAGGCCCAAAGGCCACGGGCCCCCUAAACAUGGAUCGAAACCACCAAGAACUGUGAGCCAGAGUAAUCUCUCUUUUUAAGCUGACGACUGCAGCAGGUAUCUUGUUCCAGCCACGGAAAGCUGCCUGACGUGAACGUCUAGAUGCUGGGUGCCAGUGCUGGCUCAAGCCGUCCAGUGGCACUUUGCUGGCUGCUUGCUUGUCUUCUGGCAGGAGGAGGAGGGGAGGUCCUCUUGCAGUCCCAAGCAAGGGCAGUGUGUUCCCGAUGCUGGGUCAAAGCAUCCCCAAAGCUAAAGUGAAUGGUGCCAGCAGGAGGGACAGAGCUUUGGAUGGCUAACACCUUAGUGGGUGGGCACUUGGAGUCGAAAAGAAAUGUGCCUUGCUUACUGGCUCAGACAUGCUCUCUCCUUGUGCCCUCUGACCCUCUUUCCCUCACCUUUGCCAUCAGUUGCUUUAAAGGGGGUGUUCCGGGCUGGGUGUGGUAGUGCACACCUGUAAUCCCAGAACUUGGGAGGCUGAGGCAGGAGGAUCAUUGCAAAUUUAAGACCAGCCUGGGCUGCAAAAUGAGUUCAAGGCCAGCCUGAACUGCAUAGUGAGACCCUGUCUCAAAAAAAAAAAAAAAAAAAAAAAAAGGACAGGAAAAGGGGUGUGCAUCAGAGGUCAGGCCAAAGUCACUCUGCCCUCAAAGACAUAGAAGGUCAUCCGCACUCAUCUAAGCUUGCUGGGGAUUUAGUUGGUGUGGUUGUGCAUAACUCAAAUUUUCUGGCUCUGUUGAUUUCAGGCACCUGAGUGAGCAUCACACCUGGUCCUGCAGGGAGAGGGGCACAGGGCUUCGGCAGGUGGGGCAGGGGCCGGGUCUCCUCAGUGGGGACAGGAAGCUAGCUGUGUCUUUGAGCCUAGUCACUGUAUGAGCUUGAGAGCCUUAUCGGGCUGGUUUCUGUGUCCUGCACACUCAGGGACACAGGGUUCUUGGUCCUGCCAGGUCAGGUGCCAGAAAAAUGUGGGCCCUACUGUCUCCAUGGCUUCUGAGCUACAAGCCACUGUGGCUGAGAGGUUUUGCCCACUGAAACUGCAGACAGAGAGGAGCACAGCGAGGCCAUAACCCUGAAGGGCCCACCGGGGGCCUUUCCUACAACUGAACUGUGAUGAACUUCUCUCUCUGCUCCGCCCGGCUUCCUCUGCAGACUCUUGUGAAAAAAAUCUGGGCGGCAGCGUUUUCCCAGUGUGGGAGGAGGAGGCAGGAUAGGAAGGGAGGGUGAGGAGCAAUCGGAGCAGCAGGAACCUGACCUUCGGCUCCAGCAGACACAACUAAGCUCCUGAUCACAGUUCUUUCUCACCUCCAUGCUCCGUGUGCUGGCCUUCAUUUUUUUUUUUUUUUUAUCUUUUUGAGACAGGGUCUCACUAUGCAGUUCAGGCUGGCCUUGAACUCAUUUUGCAGCCCAGACUGGUCUCAAACUCGCAACGAUCCUCCUGCCUCAGCCUCCCGACUGCUGGGAUUACAGGCAUGCGCCACCACGCUUGGUUACUCACUUUGCUAAUCUUUACAUGAAAAAUGUGGAUGAGGGGCUGGGGACUUAGCUCAGCGGCAAAGCGCCUGCCUGGCAAGCGCAAGGUCAUGAGUUCGGUUCCCGGUACCGGAGAAAAACCAAAAAAAAAAAAAAAAUGUGGAUUAGUCCUUGCAGAGGAUUGUGCUGUAAGAUAGGCAAGCACUGGGCUCAAGUCAGUCCGUAGCAGGGUCCCCCACGGGGUGAGUCGCUGCCUUCCACCUGAGCUCAGGCUGCAGCCAUGUGGAGGAAAGAGCCGGCGGUGGGGCAGAGGGGGGCGGUGGGGCAGAGGGGAGCAGCGAGGGGGUCAACACUGGUGGUCGUGAGCUGGGGUUCUAGCACAUUCCGGGGGUGACUUGCACGAGGACAGAGCGAGGGUGCAGCCUCUGUCCUCCGAGGGCGGGUUGCCUUGACAGUGGGAGCCGUUUACUGCAACACCAAACGGAACCGCGCUGCUGUGAAUCACGUCCAGCUUCCCGCCCCGCAGGACGGUGAAAUGAGCUGCUGAAGUAGAACAUUCAGGGCUGGCAGCAGAGCCCUUCUGUCUGAUCUCCUUUCUGCAGAUGUAAAAACAAUACUUUUCUGCUUGCACGAUGUAGACACUUUUUAAAAGAAGGUUUUCUGUGUCUGUGACCACAUCAUUAGGUGAACAUUACUACAUAACAGACGCGGAAGUGUUCUUUAUCUGGCCAGGUAAUUGUGAAAUUGGAUUUCCUUUUGUACUUCAAUCAAAAGACAUUAGUGUAUUAAAGUUGCUAUGUGUCUUAUUUCUCCCUGCCUUUCUCAUCCGCAGAUUUUUAA
ensembl:lincRNA